CCUACGGGAGGCAGCAGUUGGGAAUCUUGGACAAUGGGGGAAACCCUGAUCCAGCCAUGCCGCGUGAGUGAUGAAGGCCUUCGGGUUGUAAAACUCUUUCGACGGGGACGAUAAUGACGGUACCCGUAGAAGAAGCUCCGGCUAACUUCGUGCCAGCAGCCGCGGUAAUACGAAGGGGGCUAGCGUUGUUCGGAAUUACUGGGCGUAAAGCGCGCGCAGGCGGCUAUCCAAGUCAGUGGUGAAAGCCCGGAGCUCAACUCCGGAACUGCCAUUGAAACUGUUUAGCUUGAGGACGAGAGAGGUGAGUGGAAUUCCCAGUGUAGAGGUGAAAUUCGUAGAUAUUGGGAAGAACACCGGUGGCGAAGGCGGCUCACUGGCUCGUAUCUGACGCUCAGGCGCGACAGCGUGGGGAUCAAACAGGAUUAGAUACCCUGGUAGUCCACGCCGUAAACGAUGAAUGCUAGCCGUUGGGUAGCUUGCUAUCAGUGCGCNGCACGCAUAAGCAUCCGUCCGUGGGAGGUACGGCCGCGAGGUAGAACGACGAAAGGUAAGUAGUACGGCGUUGAGACGUUGCCGACGGCGACGACGAGGGAGGUUAGG
rnacentral:rRNA from 1 species